UCCUGGCUCAGAACGAACGCUGGCGGCAGGCUUAACACAUGCAAGUCGAGCGCCCCGCAAGGGGAGCGGCAGACGGGUGAGUAACGCGUGGGAACGUACCCCCCGGUUCGGAAUAACUCAGGGAAACUUGAGCUAAUACCGGAUACGGCUGAGAGGCGAAAGAUUUAUCGCCGGGGGAUCGGCCCGCGUCCGAUUAGCUAGUUGGUGUGGUAACGGCGCACCAAGGCGACGAUCGGUAGCUGGUCUGAGAGGAUGAUCAGCCACAUUGGGACUGAGACACGGCCCAAACUCCUACGGGAGGCAGCAGUGGGGAAUAUUGGACAAUGGGCGAAAGCCUGAUCCAGCCAUGCCGCGUGAGUGAUGAAGGCCUUAGGGUUGUAAAGCUCUUUCGCCCACGACGAUAAUGACGGUAGUGGGAGAAGAAGCCCCGGCUAACUUCGUGCCAGCAGCCGCGGUAAUACGAAGGGGGCUAGCGUUGUUCGGAAUUACUGGGCGUAAAGCGCGUGUAGGCGGGUCCUUAAGUCAGGGGUGAAAUGCCAAGGCUCAACCUUGGAACUGCCUUUGAUACUGGGGAUCUUGAGUCCGGGAGAGGUGAGUGGAACUGCGAGUGUAGAGGUGAAAUUCGUAGAUAUUCGCAAGAACACCAGUGGCGAAGGCGGCUCACUGGCCCGGAACUGACGCUGAGACGCGAAAGCGUGGGGAGCAAACAGGAUUAGAUACCCUGGUAGUCCACGCUGUAAACGAUGGAUGCUAGCCGUUGGGGAGCUUGCUCUUCAGUGGCGCAGCUAACGCCUUAAGCAUCCCG
rnacentral:rRNA from 1 species